rnacentral:rRNA from 1 species
UAGGGAAUCUUCGGCAAUGGACGGAAGUCUGACCGAGCAACGCCGCGUGAGUGAAGAAGGUUUUCGGAUCGUAAAGCUCUGUUGUAAGAGAAGAACGAGUGUGAGAGUGGAAAGUUCACACUGUGACGGUAUCUUACCAGAAAGGGACGGCUAACUACGUGCCAGCAGCCGCGGUAAUACGUAGGUCCCGAGCGUUGUCCGGAUUUAUUGGGCGUAAAGCGAGCGCAGGCGGUUAGAUAAGUCUGAAGUUAAAGGCUGUGGCUUAACCAUAGUAGGCUUUGGAAACUGUUUAACUUGAGUGCAAGAGGGGAGAGUGGAAUUCCAUGUGUAGCGGUGAAAUGCGUAGAUAUAUGGAGGAACACCGGUGGCGAAAGCGGCUCUCUGGCUUGUAACUGACGCUGAGGCUCGAAAGCGUGGGGAGCAAACAGGAUUAGAUACCCUGGUAGUCCACGCCGUAAACGAUGAGUGCUAGGUGUUAGACCCUUUCCGGGGUUUAGUGCCGUAGCUAACGCAUUAAGCACUCCGCCUGGGGGAGUACGACCGCAAGGUUG